UUGGACCUGUCAAUUCAUAAAAUAUUUACAAUCAACAAAAUACCUUUUCCACUGGGCUGUACAAUCUAUACAUGAUCUAUCAAAAGUACAAAAAGAAAAGACAAAAAAAAAAAAACUUAGGAUUGGUCCGACCUCCUCUAGACUCUGAGUGGACGAUGUGGAAGGAAGGACAAACAAGAAGAUGAGGACUGCUGAGCAGAUCACCAAAAAGAAACUGAAAUAUUAAGAGAAAUAUAAGGGGUGAGUACAACUACUCAGUGAGCGGAUAAAUAAAUAACAAAGGGGAAAAGAUAAAGUUUGGGUACUUAAUAGUACCAAAUAUUUAGCUAAAAUAAGUCAGCUGAAUAAAUAUAAUUUAAUUCCAUCAAUAUAAAAUAAACUGUGAAAAAUAGAAUCCGCAUACACUCAUAAUAUGUUCCCUGCAGAUAAUGCUGGCAUCUCAGGUAUAAUAAAACAAUGACAGCCUGAGAGCAAUGCUGGCAUCUUAGGCUCUAUAAUGACAAAUUUGGCCCAAGAGCAAAUAAAAUACUGGUCAUACACAUGUGCAGAGCUACCCCCAAAGGGUGACCACCUGACAUACGCCCCAAAGGCUGUCUGUAUAUCAAGCGCUGUCCCAAAGACAGUAUAAAUAUAUAUCAUGCUGAAAAUAAAUCACCUGUCAUCAAGGUGUUAUCUGUUC
rnacentral:lncRNA from 1 species